rnacentral:lncRNA from 10 species
CAGUAAAUGAGAUAGGAAAGAGGAGCCCUGCCAUCCAGUGAGUCCUGCUCAGGUGUCUUUCCUGGAGAAAUAUUCACACCUGUGUAGCAAGAGGCCUGUGCAAGGAAGCCAACAGCAGCAUCACAAGAAAUAGUGAGGAGUGGAAGGAACGCAAAUGCUCAUCAACACAGGAGUGAUUAUCCAGCAGUUAAAAAGACCUACCUCUAUGAAGUAGGUAUUCAUAGAGUCAAAGAAACAGCCUGAAGACAUAUUACACAAAGAAGAAAAAGGGGAAGGAGAAGACAGAGAAGCAAAAGAAACUGGCAAUGCAAUGCAUACAUUAUGACGCUUUUUAUGAAAAUAAAACAUCCCAGUUACAUGUAUGUGUCUGUGUGUGUAUAGAAAAGGAAUCACCUCAGCCUGGUGAUUUCAAUGCAUUUAUUCCCCCAGCAAAUGUGCGCUGAGUGCCUCUCCAUGGAAGCCUGAGGGGAACCCAGCAGGGCGCAGAGCAAGCAACAUCCCUGCCCUCUACUGGCUGGAUGAGGGAGGACGAUGAGAUGCGGUGCCAUCCGUGCAUCUGGACAUUGCAAGGUGAGGAAUAGAAAAAGGUGCCCAGGAAAGCAGAAUGUGCCUACCACCCACAACAGAGAUAAAAUCUCAGUUCCAGCCAAGAAGUGUACACAGAAAUACCUCCAAGCAAAACCAGAUCUGCCUGUCCUCAGAGAUAAUCAGAAGGAUUCCUUUCAGUUGCCUCAGACCAAGAGCAGCCUGGCUACAUUUUUUGCCUCUUGCUUCUCAACUGGCUGGCAUUUUCAUAGACUUACAUUUUAAAAGGCUGUUUACUUAGGAACAAAAAAUGAAGUUACAUACUCAAUUAAUUUUAACUUUAUGAUAUUUGGCUUCAUUGUCUAAUAAUCUAUUUUUUCUUUUUUUUCUUUUUUUUUUUUUGAGAUGGAGUCUCAUUCUGUCACCCAGGCUGGCGCGCAGUGACGUGAUCUCGGCUCACUCCAACCUCCACCUACCAGGUUCAAGGAAGCAACUCUCCUGUCUCAGCCUCCCAAGUAGCUGGGACUACCGGUGCACGCCACCACACCCGGCUAAUUUUUGUAUUUUUAGUAGAGAGGGGGUUUCAUCAUAUUAGUCAGGCUGGUCUAGAAUUCCUGACCUCAGGUGAUCCACCAGCCUCAACCUCCCAAAGUGCUGGGAUUACAGGCAUGAGCCACCACGCCCAGCCUAAUAAUCUAUUUUAAUAAUUAAAAAAUAGUGUCUCUCUCGUUCUUUUUCCUGUGUGUUUUUAUUGAUAAAUUUCAAUGCUUUGAGCAAAUAAAACAUUUCCCCAUUC